rnacentral:rRNA from 1 species
UACGUAGGGUGCGAGCGUUGUCCGGAUUUAUUGGGCGUAAAGAGCUCGUAGGCGGUUUGUCGCGUCGGCCGUGAAAUCUCCACGCUUAACGUGGAGCGUGCGGUCGAUACGGGCAGACUUGAGUUCGGUAGGGGAGACUGGAAUUCCUGGUGUAGCGGUGAAAUGCGCAGAUAUCAGGAGGAACACCGGUGGCGAAAGCGACUUCCUGGACCAGUAACCGAC